rnacentral:rRNA from 1 species
AUUGAACGCUGGCGGCAUGCUUUACACAUGCAAGUCGAACGGCAGCGCGGGCUUCGGCCUGGCGGCGAGUGGCGAACGGGUGAGUAAUGCAUCGGAACGUGCCCAGUAGUGGGGGAUAGCCCGGCGAAAGCCGGAUUAAUACCGCAUACGACCUGAGGGUGAAAGCGGGGGACCGAAAGGCCUCGCGCUAUUGGAGCGGCCGAUGUCGGAUUAGCUAGUUGGUGGGGUAAAGGCUUACCAAGGCGACGAUCCGUAGCUGGUCUGCGAGGACGACCAGCCACACUGGGACUGAGACACGGCCCAGACUCCUACGGGAGGCAGCAGUGGGGAAUUUUGGACAAUGGGGGCAACCCUGAUCCAGCCAUGCCGCGUGCGGGAAGAAGGCCUUCGGGUUGUAAACCGCUUUUGUUCGGGAAGAAAUCCUCUGGGCUAAUACCCCGGGGGGAUGACGGUACCGGAAGAAUAAGCACCGGCUAACUACGUG